rnacentral:lncRNA from 10 species
CCCAGCCAAGGCUCCCACGGGUGGCCGGACCCUAGACCAGGCUGCACGAGUGCAAUGCCCAGAGCAGGCUCCCGGGAAGCUGGGUGCUCCCUGAGUCAAGUGUGGCCCCAGCGCCAGGCACGGCCUCCACCCAUGAGAAAGCUGAGGGAGGAGCGUCCAGGCCGCUCCUGGGGUUCCCGGCUUCAGAAGGACCACCUAGGCGGCACCUAUGGGAAGAGCUGGCGGAGAGACGAGAAGGAAAGGAAAACUGACAAGAAGGGACUCAGCCAACAACAGUGAGAGCCUCUGGCCACCCAGGAUCUGCCUGCACAGGGGUAGAGGCAGGGAGGAGCCCAGCCUGGGGCUUGGUGCUGGCCAGGAGGUGGUGUCAGUAGGAAGGGCAGAUGUCAGGGUGGCUCUUGGGUCUAAGGAUCAGAGAGCGAGGCCUUGGGAGUGGAGGCGGAAGUUGCACAGCAGGUGAGGGCGGACGGCCCUGGGUGUCCAGGACUGAGCCCUGGGGACACUGACACGCUCCAGCUGGGCAGAGAGCCAAGAGGGGAGGAGGGGAGUAGGGCAGAGGGGACGGGAAGGGGCCGCCAGACAGGUAGGAGCCAGGCCAGGUGGUGCUCCACGAAGAGGAAAAGCUACAGCGCCGAGUCUCAAGGGAGGCAGGUGUGAGGAUGAGAAUGGGUGUCCCACCCUCCAGGAAAGCAGCCCGGGCGUGGCUGCAGCACACAGCAGUCUGCUCCAAGCUCAGCCCUGCAAGACGGGGCACCUGCCGCUUCUGCCAAUGGAUAACUUAAGUGGGCCUGUGCCUGCCAGGCAGGCCCCCACCCCGGCACACAGGCCAGCAGCUCCCCACUGCCCAGAGCAGGGCUGCACCCCUCGGAGGCGGGCAAGGGUAUCAUACCCUGUGCAGGCACAGCCAGCCCUGGGGCAGGCCCCUCACCGACUCCCACCACCCAGACAACUCCACUGAAGAGCUGCCCUUCACCUGUACCCCAGGAAAAGCAGCAGCACCGCCAGCCGCUGAGGUGCACAGUGAGCCGUUGGCCCACAGUCAGGUCCUGCUAGACUCCGGGCCCUGCAAUCCCUGCACUCCACCCCCACGCCCGGGGGUCACAGCCAGUGGUCCCAACCAAAGGCUGGGGUCAGCACGGUGGCUCACGCCUGUAA